ACUCCUACGGGAGGCAGCAGUGGGGAAUUUUGGACAAUGGGCGCAAGCCUGAUCCAGCAAUGCCGCGUGAGUGAAGAAGGCCUUCGGGUUGUAAAGCUCUUUCAGUUGAAAAGAAAAAGUCGUGACUAAUAAUCAUGGCUCAUGACGGUAUCAACAGAAGAAGCACCGGCUAACUACGUGCCAGCAGCCGCGGUAAUACGUAGGGUGCAAGCGUUAAUCGGAAUUACUGGGCGUAAAGGGUGCGCAGGCGGUUCUGUAAGUCAGAUGUGAAAUCUCCGGGCUUAACCUGGGAACUGCGUUUGAAACUGCAGAGCUAGAGUGCGGCAGAGGGAGGUGGAAUUCCAUGUGUAGCAGUGAAAUGCGUAGAGAUAUGGAAGAACAUCGACGGCGAAGGCAACCUCCUGGGCUAGCACUGACGCUCAUGCACGAAAGCGUGGGGAGCAGACAGGAUUAGAUACCCUGGUAGUCCACGCCCUAAACUAUGUCAACUAGUUGUCGGGUCUUAAUAGACUUGGUAACGUAGCUAACGCGUGAAGUUGACCGCCUGGGGAGUACGGUCGCAAGAUUAAAACUCAAAGGAAUUGACGGGGACCCGCACAAGCGGUGGAUUAUGUGGAUUAAUUCGGUGCAACGCGAAAAACCUUACCUACCCUUGACAUGUCAGAAAAUUUUCAGAGAUGAAUUUGUGCCCGAAAGGGAAUCUGAACACAGGUGCUGCAUGGCUGUCGUCAGCUCGUGUCGUGAGAUGUGGGGUUAAGUCCCGCAACGAGCGCAACCCUAGUCAUUAAUUGCCAUCAUUAAGUUGGGCACUUUAAUGAGACUGCCGGUGAUAAACCGGAGGAAGGUGGGGAUGACGUCAAGUCCUCAUGGCCCUUAUGGGUAGGGCUUCACACGUAAUACAAUGGCG
rnacentral:rRNA from 1 species